AGAGUUUGAUCCUGGCUCAGGAUGAACGCUAGCUACAGGCUUAACACAUGCAAGUCGAGGGGAAACGACAUCGAAAGCUUGCUUUUGAUGGGCGUCGACCGGCGCACGGGUGAGUAACGCGUAUCCAACCUGCCCACCACUUGGGGAUAACCUUGCGAAAGUAAGACUAAUACCCAAUGACGUCUCUAGAAGACAUCUGAAAGAGAAUUAAAGAUUUAUCGGUGAUGGAUGGGGAUGCGUCUGAUUAGCUUGUUGGCGGGGUAACGGCCACAAGGCGACGAUCAGUAGGGGUUCUGAGAGGAGGUCCCCANAUUGGAACUGAGACACGGUCCAAACUCCGUACGGGAGGCA
rnacentral:rRNA from 1 species